AGGAUUAUAGGUAUGUAGUUUGAAUAGAAGUGUGUAAUAUCCCAUGGUAGAAAACUUAGAGUUCAAUGUUUUAGAAUAUAGUAGCAUAUAUAAAACAAGAUAAAAGUUUUAGAGUAGUAGCUAUUCCUUCUUCUUCACCUUCUUCUUCAGAGGCUUAGGUGGUAUUAUGUAAUUAGACAGAAAAGUCUGCAUUGUGGGACACAGGUAAUUAGUUAUUAAGUUAAAAGUAAAAAUAACUUAAGUGUCAAUUCUUAAUUAGAUAGUUUUUCCUUAAAAGAGUUUAUAGAUAUACAGAGCCAUUUUGUAGCUUGUUAAUGAAAUACUGUAGAACUCACGUCUGGUAAGACUGUAAUAUAAAUAAGAACUAAUAAACAUCUGAGUCCAAAUACAAAAUACCAUCUUUGUGCAUUUAAUGCCAACCCUGACCAAAGCAAAAAAAGAAGCUAAAAAUCGACAAGAGAUGAUAUUUUGAAGUACCUUGAGUGUUCCACAGUAGGACUUAAAGGACUCUCUGGUCUUUCCUGCCUGUUAGCAAAUAAGUAAUUGCUGAGAGUCAGUCAAAUGAUGAAUUGAGACAAUGGUUAUCUACAAAAGGCUUAUUUACUGUGUCUUUUAUCUUUGAGGCUGUGAUCUUUCUGAGAGGAUCUGCAGAUGGCUGCCAUUUACUAGCCAGAUGAACUCAUUUACAGGAAAAGGAGAGGCAGAGACACACAGACUGACAUUUCUACUGUGUGGUUUGAAGCUACAGUGUAAAGCCUAGGGUCUCUACUGUCCUUGGGAUUCUCAUCUGUAAAGAGAUGAAAAGAGGAUGGAUGCCAGAAGACUGCUGACACACCGUGUCAUGACAGUCACUUAUGAAGGUGAGAUUAAUUGGCAGCAGACCAACUUUGAAGGGAUCUUGAUGGCUGGAUAUGAAUCAGGAGUGUGUGGGUGGCAGUCUGUGGGUGUCUGUUGGCAGGUCUUGGCUGCAUGUGGAUUCUGUGGAGCACAGCUGAGUGCAAGACAGGCCUUUCUCAGGUAAAGAUGGAGAAAGGACAUUCAGAGAGAACAAUGAGGGGAGGUGGGCAACCUAAGGAAAGGGUAGGAAAAAGAUGGAGGAGCAGGUGCUGAAGAAGGGUUGAGAAGGGAGGUAGGAGCAGUGCUAA